rnacentral:rRNA from 1 species
UAGGGAAUCUUCCGCAAUGGACGCAAGUCUGACGGAGCAACGCCGCGUGAGUGAAGAAGGAUUUCGGUUCGUAAAACUCUGUUGUUAGAGAAGAACAGCGCAUAGAGAAACUGUUAUGCGUGUGACGGUAUCUAACCAGAAAGCCACGGCUAACUACGUGCCAGCAGCCGCGGUAAUACGUAGGUGGCAAGCGUUGUCCGGAUUUAUUGGGCGUAAAGCGAGCGCAGGCGGUCAAUUAAGUCUGAUGUGAAAGCCCCCGGCUCAACCGGGGAGGGUCAUUGGAAACUGGUUGACUUGAGUGCAGAAGAGGGGAGUGGAAUUCCAUGUGUAGCGGUGAAAUGCGUAGAUAUAUGGAGGAACACCAGUGGCGAAGGCGACUCUCUGGUCUGUAACUGACGCUGAGGCUCGAAAGCGUGGGUAGCAAACAGG